GACGAACGCUGGCGGCGUGCUUAACACAUGCAAGUCGAACGAUGAAGCCGGAGCUUGCUCCGGUGGAUUAGUGGCGAACGGGUGAGUAACACGUGAGCAAUCUGCCCUUGACUCUGGGAUAACCGCGGGAAACUGUAGCUAAUACCGGAUACGACACCUUGGGGCAUCCCAGGGGGUGGAAAGAAUUUCGGUCAAGGAUGAGCUCGCGGCCUAUCAGCUAGUUGGUGAGGUAAUGGCUCACCAAGGCGACGACGGGUAGCCGGCCUGAGAGGGUGACCGGCCACACUGGAACUGAGACACGGUCCAGACUCCUACGGGAGGCAGCAGUGGGGAAUAUUGCACAAUGGGCGAAAGCCUGAUGCAGCAACGCCGCGUGAGGGAUGAAGGCCUUCGGGUUGUAAACCUCUUUUAGCAGGGAAGAAGCGAAAGUGACGGUACCUGCAGAAAAAGCACCGGCUAACUACGUGCCAGCAGCCGCCGUAA
rnacentral:rRNA from 1 species